CCGCUCCCUCCCCUCCCACACGCCCGCCGCCCCACCCUCUCCACCUCCCCUUCUCCCCCUACCCCCAGUAGCACCCAGGCCCAACAACACAUGCGGCGGCCAGAUCCAAGAUCCAGCACGCCGGCCUGUGCCUCACCGGAGGCGCACACGCAGAGUGAGGUGGGCUGCCCGCGUGCACACGCCAUGGACCUCCGUCACGGGCCGCCAACGCGUCUCGUCUGCCCAGCCGCGUCACCAGACGGUUGCCUGCCUGCUCCCUGCCGACGCCAUCCCGUGCUCGGGACGCCGCGCCUACCACGCCCCGAUGUCCCUCCUCCCUCUCCCCUGCGUCGGCCCCGUCGUCCGUCCCCGAGAUGGAGAGGGUGCUCAAGGAUGAUGCCAUCCAGGAGAAGGGCGAACGCGCCAGGGUGGUGGCGGGCUUAUACGGCAUUGCGAGCAGGAAGGCCAUGAGGGGUUUGCUGCUCUUCUCCUAGGGCGACCAAGAGGUCCUGCCCCGAGCUCAAGCACGUCCACGCCGACCCACCACGACAACGAAGUGCGGCUGGACGACCGAGGCUGCUAUUCUGCCUUGAUCUGCACACAAAGAGUUCCUAGACCUGACUUGAAGCAAGGAUACCUGCGGCUGCAAGCCAACAAUAUCUGAAGACGGGUGCUGCUUGUCUAUGUUCUCAGCAUAACUAUAGGCUGCCAUGUCUUUUCCACUUUCCUUUUCGCUUUCUGUAAUGCUAACUUGACGGUCAGCCUAUAGUUAUGCGAAGAACAUCGACAAGCAGCACCUGUCUUCAGUCAUACACUGCCAUGUCUUGUUCCAUUAAUCACCUAGUCCUCCUGUUAGUGACAUUCAUCUAGUAUUUUAUUUUGCAAAGCAUGCAAUGGUUUGGAGUACUUGAUCAUGGCCUGAUGGAACCUACAUGUCGUGGUUUACACAUUUACACAUUCAUGGUUUCCUCUGCUGUUUGUAAUUGUUCUGGUUAACUAUGCUAGUAGAUAUCGCGUGGGAUCUGUAGCUAGUGUCUGUUGUGCAUGUCCUCUUUGACGAGUUCAUUCAUCGGAAAAUAUUUCUUGAUAAGUUGCUUUCUGUCCAAAUGCAUACUAUUAUUUCUGAUGCUUUCUAUACUUUAGCUGGUGUCUGUUGUGACAUCUUUCUAUACUUUAGAACUACCACUUAUCAUGUUGCUUAUUUCUGAUGCUUUCUAAGUUGGUAUUAUAUUUCAGCAGUACUUGAUUCCCUUUUCAAAUUGCUGUUGCCAUGUGGUUGUCCUUCCCGUUAGUUCAUGUGAAAUUUGGAUUUUAAGAUUAUGGCUUAAUAUGUUGUCUCAUGCUGUUGAUUUCACUUGUGCAGAAUCUAUUGACUAAUCUUGACAAGUUUUGCUCUGCUGAUCGCCCAUGCUGCUGCUCUUUGUGGUCCACGACGGCGUCUGGUCCGUCGAGUCCUUCUGCAGCCGCUGCCGCUGCUCCUUCCACAGCUUGGGUGGGACUCGUCGGAUCGCCCUCCUCAUUUCCCAUUUCAGGGCUGCUAGUGAUGUAGCAAACCAAGCAGUAGCAGGCACACCAAGAAGCAGCAGGGGGAGAGUGUCUCUCGAACGUCGCCGCUGCCACUCAUUGCUACUGUCACUGAUUAAUGAUGGAUGAUCGCUGUUAGUUUAGCUCGGCCGCUGUUAGUUUAGCUCCUUGGUAGUCCCUCCCUCUCUUGCAAGCGUGUAGAAAUAGAAAUGGUAGCUGUAGUCCCAUGUAGCUGUAGUUCCUGUACUCGGUGUGCCCGUUGUUGCUUCAUUUCUAUGUUAAUUCAGUCUCUGUUGAAUGUAUCUACUGUCUACUGUUGUGGCUGUUGAAAGAAUACUUUGUGUUGAAAGAAAUGAAAUGGUUUGGAUACAUACGUACAUGCUGAGAUGUAAGCUGGAAUAGCCAUCUGCCCUUGUGAUGUCAAGCUUCUAAAUGCAUGUUGUGGAGGCCCAAAAUAGACCGGAUUGUAAAAGGGCCGAGGCCCAAAAAAGAAAUGAAUUAUAGAAGGCUACGUCCUAGAAAAUAAAAUGGGCCAGGCCCAUGAACCCAACAAAAAAUUGAUGAAAAAAACACAAAUAGGCUGAAUUAAUGGGCUCGGCCCAUGUAAAACACCGAAUCGGACCGGGCUGAAUCUUGUCAGUGACCUUUUCAAUUGGUCGCAAUUU